AGUGAACGCUGGCGGUAGGCCUAACACAUGCAAGUCGAACGGCAGCACAGGAGAGCUUGCUCUCUGGGUGGCGAGUGGCGGACGGGUGAGGAAUACAUCGGAAUCUACCUUUUCGUGGGGGAUAACGUAGGGAAACUUACGCUAAUACCGCAUACGACCUACGGGUGAAAGUGGGGGACCGCAAGGCCUCACGCGAUUAGAUGAGCCGAUGUCCGAUUAGCUAGUUGGCGGGGUAAUGGCCCACCAAGGCGACGAUCGGUAGGUGGUCUGAGAGGAUGAUCAGCCAAACUGGAACUGAGACACGGUCCAGACUCCUACGGGAGGCAGCAGUGGGGAAUAUUGGACAAUGGGCGCAAGCCUGAUCCAGCCAUACCGCGUGGGUGAAGAAGGCCUUCGGGUUGUAAAGCCCUUUUGUUGGGAAAGAAAUCCUGUCGAUUAAUACUCGGUGGGGAUGACGGUACCCAAAGAAUAAGCACCGGCUAACUUCGUGCCAGCCGCCGCUGUAACAC
rnacentral:rRNA from 1 species